rnacentral:lncRNA from 1 species
AAAGAAAAAUGAGGGUUAGGGAAAGAACUUCAAAGUUAAUUUACCAAAAUCCAACCAUAUCCUUGACCUGUGCAGACCCCAAUAAGGCAUUAAUUACAAAGGGAUUAACACUUUUCUCCGUUGUAACAAUGGUGUCUUCUGUCAAUGGAAGGUGAUAACAAUAUUUGCAUACAUCCAUUAGCAUGGGAGUCGUAGAUUAUGAGAAAGGUCUUAACACUCUUCCUAAAUGAAGUUAAGCAACCCUGGAGAAGAGAAAGAGCUACUUUCACAGCCUAAAAGAACUUGAACAAUUUUGAAAAAAUCCCAGCAGCAGCUUGUGCCCUGCUCUGCCCAGAGCUGGUAUGGUCACCAUGAAUAUGCUGACUGGCAGUAUUUACCCCACCUGCAUGCAACUGGGUACACUGCAUUAGCAACUGAUUCCAAAGCUACUGUACAAGAAAGGACCUUCCUGUUCUUCUACACUCGGUACUCAGCCUACCCCUUUUCCUCUGCCCACUUGGAUGACUGUCCAACUUGACUUCCCAUGACUCAGUGAGACAGAUAUAAAUAAACCUUGUUUCUUCUCUGAAUGAUUCAACAUGUUGCAGCCAUGUUGGAAUAGAGAGUACCAUUAGCAUGGUAAAUUUGAGUUAUAAACAUCUAGAGUUAAUUUUUCUUAACUGAAUUCUGACACCAAUUCUACCGCCUAUCCCUCGAAAUAGGAUUUUGCACUUUUUGUGGAAUGACAUGACGCUUUAAAAAUGUAACAAAUAUAAGGAUACUUGGGCCAGGAAAAGAAAAAAAGGAUUUAUGAAUAGUACACACACCCUCAGUGGAAUUUUUCUUACCCUUUGAAGUUUGUCUUCCCAUCUAGGUCAAGACAGUAAUGCUGCCAAAGUCUUUAUGGGCGUAAGGAAGCCUUUCACAGGCUUCUAACUUUGAAAGAUGAAUGGAAGACUAUCUAAGAACUUUCCUUACAUGUUCAUUUUUCCUCCAUGAAAAGGAUAUUUGAUUGCAAAAUAAAACAGAGUUGAUGAAAGUGCCAAAUUCCACCAUAUUUCUGCCACUACUGAAACUAGCCACUUUUUCCUCACACAUCUGAACUCUGAGGCAAUAGAAAGGGACAUGGCAGCAUCACGUUACAGGCUCGGUGUGGUAGGCAGAGUUCUAAGCUGACCCGCAUGAUCUUCAUCUGCUUGUGUUAUGAAGGUGAUUAUGUUACAUUACAGGGAGACAGAGACUUUGCACACGCCAUUAAAGUAACUAAGCAGUUGACCUUGAAUCAAGCAAAAAGGAGAUUAUGUGGAGGAACCUCAACUAAUCCUCUGAGACCUUUAUAAACAAAGUGCUAGAGAACCCGCUGUGGCUCAGCAGAUUAAGAACAUGACAUAAUGUCUAUGAGGAUGCGGGUUCAAUCCCUGGCCUUGCUCAGUGGGUUAAGGACCCGGCAUCGCCACAAGCUGCAGCAUAGGUCAAAGAUGGGGCUCAGAUCCAGUGUUGCCAUGGCUGCGGCAUAGGCCGGCAGGUGCAGCUCUGAUUUGACCCUUAGCCUGGGAAUAUCCAUAGGCCAUGGAUGUGGGCAUAAAAAAAUAGUAAAAAAAUAAAAACAAAGUGUUUUCUCCAACUGGUGGCAGAAAAGGAGUUAGGAGAUUAGAAGAGGGAGAAGGAUUCACCACCAGAGAGGCUGUCUAUCACUGAAUAGAAAGAACCAGAAGGCAAGGACGCAAGUGUGUCAUCUAGGAGGUGAGAAUGGCAGCAAGAAAACAGGGAUUUCACUCCCGUGAAUCACAAGGGCCUGAAUUCUGCCAACAAUCUCAAUCACUUGGAAGCAUUCUUUCCAGAAUCUCCAGCUUAGCCCGCUGCCCUUUGAUUUUGGUCUUGUGAGACUCUAAGCAGAGAACGUAGUUGCAUCUACCCAGACUACUGACCUACAAAAUUAUGAGAUAAUAAAUGGGUACUGUUUUCAGCUCUUAAAUUUGCAGUAAUUUUUGCAAUGCAAUAGGAAAUGAAUUCAUUUGAUAUUAACCAAGAACCAUCCCCAAACGUUCCUACUAUGUUCCUGCUCCAAGUUUCCUUUUCAGCCAAAAUACCUUCUUUGUUUCCUUAACAUGUCUGUUGUUUUCUCUGAGGCAGGAUUUACACACACGAACUUGCUAUCAUGAAAGUAAAGGCAGCCGAGACCAACUUACAGCUCAUCACCUGAAGGAAAGGAGCCUGACACAGUUUUCUUUCCGAAAUCAAGUCAUCUUCACCUGAAUAAUUCAACCAACAGUCACUCAUGUCCCAUUUUGGGCCACCCUUUCCUAUGUGGUCCAUAUCCUUAUUUUAUUGCUAUUUAUUUUCUUGUUAAUUAGACAGUAAAGCUCUUGAAAGCAAGUGCUUCUAAUCUUUAUGCCCUACUCUACAGCAUAUAUCCCUCGUACAUCACAGGCACCCAAUAAAUAUUUGUUCAUUUGUUUUGUUCUAAAGUAUCUCUCUUUAAUCUUAAUGAGAUUAAAUGACACCCACAGUCCAAAGAAAACCUCAUUAGCCAAGCGACGGGAAUCUCAGCAGUGACCUGCCCCACAUUCUACUUGGCCUUUCACUACCAUGAACCCCAAACACACUUAAACUGUCAAAAUUAAAAAUGUAAGUGCAAAAACAAGAUAAUCACAGAAAAAAGGGAUGCUUUCUCUAUGACCAUAUUUACAAUGCAUACACUAUGCGCAUGAAUGUGCAGGAGAGGAAAAGACCAGCAGAAAAUAGAAAGAGUGCCCAACUGACAGACCGAAGGUUGUUAACAAUUAAGAAUGAUCAACAUAACAGGCAUGAAGAAGCAAAGGCCGGAAGUUACCCGUGGUGCUGCAAGCCAUGCAGAUUUGGUUUAAUCCCUUGAAACACAAAUAGGGCUUAAAAUCCCAGCAAAGACAUUUGCUAAACUAAAUGAACCUAUUUUAAAGUUUCAGGGAAAAGCAACAAGAAUGCAAUUUGGGAAAAUAAUGAAAGUCAACUUGGUCACACUCCAAUGAGCCCCCUCUGAUGUGACUGCCCAACCCCAGAGCAAUAUGCUCCAUAACCGUCUGAACAUUAAACUCAAACUUUAAAAAUAUCACUUCUAUUUUUCUUUGUUUCUCAAAGGAAAAUGUGAAACAAAAAUCAAUUGUACAUGUUUUUUUAUGUGCUAUUAUAUUUAGAAUCAUAGAACCGGAGGGCUGGCUGAGACCCUGACAGGCUAUUUUGUUUAUUCUUCUCCAUUAGGCAGACCCACACUUAAUCCUUCCUUGAUAGGAAAAUCUCUAUCGUUUUUAAAGACUUUCAGAGAAGAUUUCUUAGACUCUCUCUAACCCACUAAGGUAGUUAAUAACUUUUCCUAUUAUCUAGCCUAAAUCCUUCACUCUCUGCUUAAGACUCAUUUCUUCUUGUCUGACUGUUCACUUGAGGUACAGGGAAUCAUUUAUCACUCUCUUUCAUAUAAGAGAUACUCAUAUACUGAUAAUAAUUAUGGAAUUAGCUCGGCAAUCUCGUAAUGAAAUAUUCCAAGGCUGUUGGGGUUCUCCACUAAAUAUUCUGCAACUUCUCUCACUUUCCUUUACCUGUAAACCUCAAAAUAUGGUUGCUAACCUCUGUUAAGGAUUUAAUUACCUGAUUCUGAAGUCCUUGGGAGUUACACCUUGGGCAUCUGUCCAGGGCCAUAUCUCAGGAAUAUGGGAUGAAAUAAAUCAUCCCAGGCUGUCCUCACUCCUACAAAUAAUUUUAUGAAGAUAAUUUGGUUGGAAUGAGUAUUGAAGGCAGCUAUAUAAUGUGAAAAUAAGUCACAGAAAGGUUGUCUGCGUAGGAAAAAAAAAAGAGAGAGAGAGAAAUACAUCAUGAUGCUAAUGGCAGGUAUCCCUGGAUGACUGUGGGAUUAUGUGAGUGUGUGUUUUGUCUUUCUUUAUACCUUUCUUAUUUUCCAAAUCUCUUGUAAUGUAUUCAUUUUUAAUGAGAAGAGAGUAAACAGCAUCUGUAACGUGUGAGGGUGUGUGUGCCGGUGUGUGUGUGUGUGUUGGAAAGUGUAAGGAGAUGCUACCUAACGGGGUUUUAUAGGAGUGAGGUGGUGGGUAGCCCAUCAUCCCAGUUUUCACACUGCAAGCUCCAAGCUGCAGAAAACCCUUCAGUCACAGGCAAAGCUAGAAUGUUGAUCACCCUACAGGAAGCCAGGCAAGGGGACAUCAGCGAAGCUGCUGGGAGUGGCCGUAAUACGAAUGCCAUGAUUUUUCCCACCAGCUAGAAAGCAUUGCCUCUUCCCAAGGGGCUGCCCAGGAUCCUUGGAUUUGGAAAUGUAAGUAACACCCCAAGUACAGAAAAGGUAAGAGCAGCUCUGUGUUCCCUCCAGGUUCUCCGUCUCACAUACAAAGGCACUUUGCUGAUUCAGGGUAGGCAAUGAAGGAUUUUAGAUGAGAAUAGAACAGAAGAUUCUAGGCUUAUGUUUGCCUUGCUGUUGUUUUCCUUUCCCUUCUGGGCUCAGGAACUAGAAAUGCCAGGCCCACGUCUUCAAGAGCCAACUGAAGACACUGAUGCAGCUUCAGGUCAGCGUGUUGACCUGGUAUAUUGCAUCUGUUUCCACACAUGGAGCCAGCUCUGAGCAGAACCGCGGGGCAGCAACACAGCACUGGCUGCGAACGGGUCUCCGUUCUGACCAGAGUGUCCUUCCCUCCACCACGAGGCUGGUGACUACCCUGAGGCUUUGCUGCAGUGAAGUGCAUUUGUUUCCAAGGGUUGUGAGGUAGGAAUGGAGCCCCGGGAGAGAGUGUAAUUGCAUUUAAAAGCAGGAGCUUUUGACGGAGGUGUACACAGCUCAGAGCAAAUCCACAGGCAGAUCUUACCUCCAAGCUUCCACUUACACCUGUAACAGCAGUAGUAAUCACAUUCUCUCCCUCACAGGUAAUACAUGUAACAUGCCUAGAACAGGGCCCAGCAUGUAGAAAGCAUGUGCACAUACACACACACACACACACACAUACGUACCAGCAAGGAAAGAGCCUUAAUUCUAAACUUCUUGAAAAUAAAAGCAAUCUCAAUCAUUCACUAAACAUUCACUGAACACUCCCUGGGGGCCAGACUGGGCUAAAUAUCAGGAUAUAAGAGGCAUAAGAUGCGGCCUCUGUCCUCAAGGAGUUUACAGCCCAGCACAGGGACAGUGUCAGCCUGUCUCUGGGAGCUCUGAGUAACAAAGCCUUUCAGUAGUGAGUGCCAGGAACGGUAACAUUAGGGAAGUUUGCACAGAGGAGAGCCUGUUAGAACCAAAUUUCUCAAAUAGUUUUUAAUGUUUUUAAUUUUAAAAGGAAACCCCUUCACUAUUAAAAAGCUCAAAACACAUAAGCAAAAACAAGAGAAAAAUGAAUUAAAACUGUUUGUGACCCCCCAAUGCCAAGAGAGAAACAGCUUUUAGCAUUUUUAUAUCAUUUGAUAAUUCUUACACAAAAAUGUAAAAAUACAUAUGUAUCCUUGUAGAGGAUAGGAUACAUACUAUUUUGUAAUCUGAUUUUUUUUCUCACUUAAAAAUGCAGCCUAGACAGUCUUCUGAAUCAAGAAAUAUAAAUUGAGUACAAUUUUUUACGUGGCUGCAGAGUAUUCUGCCAUAAAUGUAUAUGUAAUUUUCUUUUUUACUGACCCCUCUAAUGAUUUCCAACUGGGUUAUGCAAUGCUAAACAUUCUCAUUCAAUGGGAACCAGAAGAUGUUUUCAAGAGGGGGAGUGGUGUGAUGUGAUUUUAAGAGAACAAUCAGGCAGCAAGGAAGAUGGAUCCCAGCAAAAAGAAUUCCAAGGGCACCAAUAUUCCUGCUGGAGUCGAAGAGGCUCUGAAUUAAGGCAGGGGUGGGCAGACAGGGAAUUCAUGGAUUUGAACUUACAGGAUCUGAAGGCUGACCGUGAGCCACUAAAAUAGGAGAUGAGUGGUGCCUCAACAGGGCUUUAUCUCCUGGCGGGUUAGUAACCAAGAACCGUGUGUUUGGGGGCAUGUGGAUAUUACGAAUUCCUCUUAGGACUCGCCAUCAGUUGUCACAGCCAUGGCUCCAGAUUAUGGCCAGGCCCGAGAAGCGGCUUUGGAAACCUUCAGCAGGACAUACGGUGAAGCCCUGGGCAUUCAGGAGACCAUCCAGGAAAGGUGUGGAAUACGUAGACCGACAGGUGAGGACAGAGCACACGGGAGGACAAGUACAAGCUAAGAGGGACCAGCCACCACGUCGGAGGCGUGAGCACAGGGCCACUGAGGUGUGCGGGAGGAGAGGGGAGGCUGCGGAAAGCCUUGGUAAGGCUCAUCCUGCGACAGGCUUUUGCUGCUGGGGACUCGGAAAAUCCUGAGGGACUGUGGACAGUGCCCUUGGAGGGGCAGCACCAUCACGACUUGGUAAUAAGUGCUAGGACCACAUCCACGGCCAGCGAGGGGGUCAGGCUUGGCGAUUAGGACUGAGCACUAGGACAUUCAAGAGGAGGAUCUCU